AAAAGGACAUACACUUCCAGCUUGAUGUGGACUCUGCACCAUGCCAGUUCCCGUAAAGGUCGACAGGUCUCAGUGGUGGUGACUUCAGGGUGCAUAUGGAUAGACAGCAGGACACUUGGUCAGCCAGAAAGCUUGCACUGCUGAGUGAAGAAGGCAGAUUUGGUGCAUUGGAAGACAGCAACUGCAGAUGCAGAGGAACUGGAAGGGAAUCACAGCUGGUCAUGCCAAAGGGGCAGCCCAACCUAUGUUCAUUCAGCAACCAUGGCAGUUUCUCUAAAUCUGUUUUCAAUUCGAGCUCCAGGUCA
rnacentral:lncRNA from 1 species